UGCUUAUUUUGCCCAGGCGGAGCUCGACCGCCCCUUCAAACGAUGAUUUCAUUCAUUGACGAAUACCGUAGCGUGUUUGGGUCGAGCCGAUCUGCAGAUUAUUGCCGAUUGCCCCC
rfam:Ochrobactrum intermedium 229E Contig338, whole genome shotgun sequence.